AGUUGCUGCAUUUAUAUAAAAAGCUCGUAGUUGGAUUUCUGUUAUGGUCUUCCAGCGCCGCCCAUAUGGGUGUGCGCCUGGCAUGCCCUGGACUUAUUUCCGGUAACCUUCGGCGCUUAAUUGCGUACGUUAGCUUCCUGGGAAUUUUACUCUGAGAAAAAUAUAGUGUUGCAAGCAGGCUUGUUGCCCUGAAUACUGCAACAUGGAAUAAUGAGGUAGGACGUCAGUCCUAUUUUGUUGGUUUCUAGGACCAUGAUAAUGACUAAGGGGGAUAGUUGGGGGGAUUCGUAUUUAACUUUCAGAGGUGGAAUUCUUAGAUUUGUUAAAGAGGAGCUACUGCGAAAGCAUUCGCCAAGGAUGCUUCCAUUAAUGAAGAACGACAGUAGUGGGUUUGGGGAGAACUAGACACCGUUGUAAUGUCUACCAUGAACUAUGCCGAUUAAAGAUAGGGAAGCGCCCACCUCCUGCACCUAAUGGGAAAUCAAAGUCUCUGGAUUCUG
rnacentral:ncRNA from 1 species